GAUGAAAUUGGCUGUCCCUGCCAAAUCAUCAUUGGGUGUCAUAUUUAUUGUAGGCUUCAAGGAGGAGAGAGUUACAGCCUUACAGAUUAGUUCAGAGAUAUCAUUCCAUGAAUAAGGAAGAGUAUAUCUCAGAAUUGUCCCUGCCAGUACAGUCUGUUAGAAAAGUGCUAUGUGCUCUGAUACAACCCAGACUUUAAUGUGUUCUGAAGUUCCAAUGUCUUUCAAUAAUCUCUUUCCUGAUUGCUGCAAUUCUGCCUUAUCAUCCAUAAGGCAGGAAUGUUGCACUACAGCCCUCAUAUUCAGUUAACACUACAGAAAUAGGAAAAAACCUUGACACAAAACCCCAACUUUGGUACAAAAUAAAAUCAUUACAACACUUCAAUUCAACUCACCUCUUCAUACUGCCUCACAGUAAUCAGAGCCUUUUUGUCACUCAGAGUAAAUUAACCCACUGGGAUAUAACUCAUUUCAAUAGAAGAACCCACCUAAUUUUCAAUGAAGCUUUUGUAUGUUAGAAAUACUGUAAAUCACUUAGCUGAUAAGGCAUUAGGUUAUUGUGUGCAUCACCUGCACACAUCUACCACUCAAAACUCUGCCCACAAUUCUGACAAUCAAUGUGACAACACAGCCAAUCAAAUGCUAUCCUACAGCAGCUUCCUAGGAAACCAACACAUACUGUAUCUAUGGAAACUAACUGCAACACACUGGAUGAAACAUGAAGAAAAAUCCUGCAGGCUUUUUCCCCACUUUAAAAAAAAUCCCUUUGUGAGUGCUGCUCUUGUAGAAUAGAGAGUGUGAGAAGAAAAGCAGAAUAAACAUUAAAGAUCACUCCAUACAAGGAAAAACAAAAUUCUGAACCUUUGACGUUCUUCUAUUCCACUGAGCAUAGAUUCUGUUCUGUUCUGACAAGUGAAGUGAAGAGAAGUUGGAGGUCUGUCUGCAGCCCAGCACAGCAAAGAAGGAAUUGAGAGGAGUCGGGAUGCAUGCAUGAACUCCAAAGGUGCAAACAACACGCACCGCUCUCACACAUGCGCGGCACAACUGGACACUGCUGGAAAAGUCUCCAAUCUGUGGCAAUGGGACAAGCCUGACACCAACAGUAGAGCACCCACAGGGACAUCACUCAAAGAAGGUUUUGUUUUGGAAUCAGAGUGAAUUCUUGACUUAAAAAAACCACCUUUAUUAAAAUUUAAAAAAUUAAAAAUUCUUCAAAUUUGAUUGGCAUUUAUUAAUAGUUUCAGUGCCUCAAAACUUUCUAGCUUUUUUUUUUUUUUUUUUUGGCCUAUCUCUCCAGAGAGAGUUUUCUGUAGAUAAGUACUCUGAACAAUCAUGACCUUUCAAACACUGCACCCACAAUCAGUGGUCACUUCUGGCCUCUCUCUUUCUUUGCCUCAGCACCCUGUUUAUCAAACAGAGAUAAUAUCUCCUUAUCCACAGGGGGUAAUGAGAAUCUAAAUUAAUGAAUGUUUGUGAAACACCUAAGUAGUAUAGUGGCGAGUGAUACAGAAAAGCCCAGGAGGAAAUUAAUAAUACUGUCCUCAGAGCAUGAUUUGAAUAAUGUCUAGUGAAUAAACGCUAGAACCAGAUAUUGAAGAAUGAGGAUAAGACAAACAGUGCAGAGCUAUUCAUUCACUGAACACUGUCCAUCACGUGCAUUUGCUGUGGCAGACAUCCUCUGGAAAA